AGAGAUGCAUUGGGUGUAAAGCGUGCGUAGGUGGGUCAGUAAGUCAGUGGUGAAAUCUCUGGGCUCAACCCGGAACUGCCAUUGAUACUAUUGGUCUUGAAUAUUGUGGAGGUUAGCGGAAUAUGUCAUGUAGCGGUGAAAUGCUUAGAUAUGACAUAGAACACCAAUUGCGAAGGCAGCUGGCUACACAAAUAUUGACACUGAGGCACGAAAGCGUGGGGAUCAAACAGGAUUAGAUACCCUGGUAGUCCACGCCCUAAACUAUGGAUACUCGACAUACGCGAUACACAGUGUGUGUCUGAGCGAAAGCAUUAAGUAUCCCACCUGGGAAGUACGAUCGCAAGAUUGAAACUUAAAAAAUUGACGG
rnacentral:rRNA from 1 species